UACGUAGGAGACGAGCGUUGUCCGGAAUUACUGGGCGUAAAGCGCGUGUAGGCGGAUGAGCAAGUCUGCUGUGAAAGCUCCUGGCUUAACCGGGAGUGGUCGGUGGAAACUGCUCGUCUGGAGGACGGUAGAGGUAGGUAGAAUUCCCGGUGUAGUGGUGGAAUGCGUAGAGAUCGGGAGGAAUACCUGUGGCGAAGGCGGCCUACUGGGCCGGACCUGACGCUGAGACGCGAAGGCGUGGGGAGCGAACCGG
rnacentral:rRNA from 1 species